GCAUCUCUAUGUGUGUAGAGCAUGAGACUAUCAAUCUCAGGGUUGUGGGUUUGAGUCCCACAUUGGGCA